rnacentral:rRNA from 1 species
UGGGGAAUCUUGCGCAAUGCGCGAAAGCGUGACGCAGCAACGCCGCGUGGGGGAAGACGGCCUUCGGGUUGUAAACCCCUUUCAGGAGGGACGAAGGUUCACCGGUGAAUAGCCGUGUGGAUUGACGGUACCUCCACAAGAAGCUCCGGCUAACUACGUGCCAGCAGCCGCGGUAAUACGUAGGGAGCAAGCGUUGUCCGGAAUCAUUGGGCGUAAAGCGCGCGUAGGUGGCUUCGUAAGUCCGUUGUGAAAGUCAAAGGCUCAACCUUUGAAAGCCGAUGGAUACUGCGGAGCUAGAGUACGGAAGAGGCGAGUGGAAUUCCUGGUGUAGCGGUGGAAUGCGCAGAUAUCAGGAGGAACACCAAUAGCGAAGGCAGCUCGCUGGGACGUUACUGACACUGAGGCGCGAAAGCGUGGGGAGCGGAACAGGAUUAGAUACCCUGGUAGUCCACGCCGUAAACGAUGGGUACUAGGUGUGGGAGGUGUC